CCCUUAGAUGUUCUGGGCCGCACGCGCGCUACACUGACGGAGCCAGCGAGUACUUCCUUGGCCGAAAGGCCCGGGUAAUCUUGUUAAACUCCGUCGUGCUGGGGAUAGAGCAUUGCAAUUAUUGCUCUUCAACGAGGAAUCCCUAGUAAGCGCAAGUCAUCAGCUUGCGUUGAUUACGUCCCUGCCCUUUGUACACACCGCCCGUCGCUACUA
rnacentral:ncRNA from 1 species